GACGAACGCUGGCGGCGUGCCUAAUACAUGCAAGUCGAGCGGGACUCUUCGGAGUCCAGCGGCGGACGGGUGAGUAACACGUGGGCAACCUGCCUGUAAGACUGGGAUAACACCGGGAAACCGGUGCUAAUACCGGAUAAUCCUUUCCCUCACAUGAGGGGAAGCCGAAAGACGGUUUCGGCUGUCACUUACAGAUGGGCCCGCGGCGCAUUAGCUAGUUGGUGAGGUAACGGCUCACCAAGGCGACGAUGCGUAGCCGACCUGAGAGGGUGAUCGGCCACACUGGGACUGAGACACGGCCCAGACUCCUACGGGAGGCAGCAGUAGGGAAUCUUCCGCAAUGGACGAAAGUCUGACGGAGCAACGCCGCGUGAGCGAUGAAGGCCUUCGGGUCGUAAAGCUCUGUUGUCAGGGAAGAACAAGUAUCGGAGUAACUGCCGGUACCUUGACGGUACCUGACCAGAAAGCCACGGCUAACUACGUGCCAGCAGCCGCAGUAAGAC
rnacentral:rRNA from 1 species